GACGAAGGUGGCGAGCGUUGUUCGGAAUCACUGGGCAUAAAGCGCACGUAGGCGGCGAUGUAAGUUGGGUGUGAAAUCCCUCGGCCCAACCGAGGAACUGCGCCCAGUACUGCGUUGCUUGAGGAUCCAAGGGGUGCAUGGAAUUCCCGGUGGAGCGGUGAAAUGCGUUGAUAUCGGGAGGAACUCCGGCGGCGAAAGCGGUGCACUGGUGGAUUACUGACGCUGAGGUGCGAAAGCCAGGGGAGCAAACGGG
rnacentral:rRNA from 1 species